CCCCUAGUACCAUCCUUGCAUUCAGUGUUAAACUGUUUUAAAUGGUCUAAUCCUAUGCGAUAGUUCACAGCAGCUCAUCCCACAUUCUGCUCGGGCUUAUGGUGAAGUAUUAGCAUAAGAAGCUAUAUUGGCUUUGAUUGGCUGAGAGUGUCAUCUGACCACUUUCAGCCUAUCACAUUGCACCGGGUCAAGUGUGAAUUGGUAUGGCUAGAAGGAAGUGUGCAAUGUCUGCUUUAACCUCACCCCCAGUAGAUUGGUGGUGCUGUAAG